AUUGAACGCUGGCGGCAGGCCUAACACAUGCAAGUCGAGCGGAUGACGGGAGCUUGCUCCUGGAUUCAGCGGCGGACGGGUGAGUAAUGCCUAGGAAUCUGCCUGGUAGUGGGGGACAACGUUUCGAAAGGAACGCUAAUACCGCAUACGUCCUAAGGGAGAAAGCAGGAGACCUUCGGGCCUUGCGCCACCAGAUGAGCCUCGGUCGGAUUAGCGAGUUGGUGCGGUAAUGGCUCACCAAGGCGACGAACCGUAACUGGUCUGAGAGGAUGAGCAGUCACACUGGAACUGAGACACGGUCCAGACUCCUACGGGAGGCAGCAGUGGGGAAUAUUGGACAAUGGGCGAAAGCCUGAUCCAGCCAUGCCGCGUGUGUGAAGAAGGUCUUCGGAUUGUAAAGCACCUUAAGUUGGGAGGAAGGGCAGUAAGCGAAUACCUUGCUGUUUUGACGUUACCGACAGAAUAAGCACCGGCUAACUCUGUGCCAGCCGCCGCCGUAAAAC
rnacentral:rRNA from 1 species